UACGUAGGUGGCAAGCGUUAUCCGGAAUUAUUGGGCGUAAAGCGCGCGCAGGUGGUUUCUUAAGUCUGAUGUGAAAGCCCACGGCCCAACCGUGGAGGGUCAUUGGAAACUGGGAGACUUGAGUGCAGAAGAGGAAAGUGGAAUUCCAUGUGUAGCGGUGAAAUGCGUAGAGAUAUGGAGGAACACCAGUGGCGAAGGCGACUUUCUGGUCUGUAACUGACACUGAGGCGCGAAAGCGUGGGGAGCAAACAGG
rnacentral:rRNA from 1 species